UACGUAGGGGGCAAGCGUUGUCCGGAUUCACUGGGUGUAAAGGGCGCGCAGGCGGGUUAGCAAGUCAGAGGUGAAAUCCUACAGCUUAACUGUAGAACUGCCUUUGAAACUGUUAAUCUUGAGUGCGGAAGAGAGAGAUGGAAUUCCAGGUGUAGCGGUGAAAUGCGUAGAUAUCUGGAAGAACACCAGUUGCGAAGGCGGUCUCUUGGUCCGUUACUGACGCUCAGGCGCGAAAGCGUGGGGAG
rnacentral:rRNA from 1 species